UACGUAGGGUGCAAGCGUUGUCCGGAAUUAUUGGGCGUAAAGAGCUCGUAGGCGGUUUGUCGCGUCUGCUGUGAAAACUCGGGGCUUAACCCCGGGCGUGCAGUGGGUACGGGCAGACUAGAGUGCGGUAGGGGAGACUGGAAUUCCUGGUGUAGCGGUGAAAUGCGCAGAUAUCAGGAGGAACACCGGUGGCGAAGGCGGGUCUCUGGGCCGUAACUGACGCUGAGGAGCGAAAGCGUGGGGAGCGAACAGG
rnacentral:rRNA from 1 species